UUUAAUUUUCAAACAAACGCAGCUCGAUAAAAAGCAACAUUUAACAGUUACUAAGUAAUUACAGAUGAUAGCAUUGGGCAAGAUUCAGGAAAAAGUCUUUUACUGAAUCAAUCUAUUCUUUUGUGAUAAAUCGAUCGGCCAAUUCAAUCGACCAGCCUGGAUUGAUCGUUUCUAUGUUGUAGAAAUCUAACAUAUAUUUCCCAUAUUUCUAUGACAAAUAAGCUUCUUGUAUAUUCUGAGAAUUGCGCAUAAAAUUGUUGCUGCUGUUCAAUUCAAAUCUUCUGGCAUCCCUGAUCAUUAUUAUGUCCAGCCCAAUGGCAUCGCGCCAUGUUUCAAGGGCGAACAUCUCAACGUAUGUGUAAACGAGAUAGCAUAUCACCGCAACUUUUCAUACACCUUUAUCUGACAGCUGACAGUGGGCACAAAUGAGUUUGGGCCCAGGACAUAAGUUCAUUGUCUUUCACUGUUACUUGCUAUAGAGAUGCCAAUGGCUCGAUUAUGUCGCUGUCAGUAUUCGUUCAGUCUUCAGUCUCUGCGGCUUCAGUCUCCAGUAUUAUUGUGUUGUUGUUUACCGAUUUUGAUUAAGUUUUCUCCAAAUAUUCAAUACAGUUUCCGUGAAGCAAGGAGUGUGGUAUAAACCGUCAAAGCUAGCGGUAAUUGUGGUUCCGCAUCAAUGAAUUACCGGGAAAGGCAGCUACUUCAAUUCACAAAUUUGGCUUAGAUCAUUUGCCACAAAACAACGGAGCUUCAUAGAAAUUAUACACCAAAGUGAAGAUGAUGCAUAAUACCGCGAUGACCAGUUGCUGGAGGAGUGAUUAUUAAUGAAACGAGAGGAGUGGACGGAACAGCUUUGCUACAAGAAAACGACACAGGAGAGCAGAGUAAUGGUGUUGGCGAUUGAAUAUUAGGUUACGUUUUUGCAUAUAUUUAAGUUAAAUUUUAUUAAUAUUUAUUCCACACUAAUCUUAAUAUGUAAUCUGUUAAUCUGCAUCUAAAAAGUUUUAACACCAUGUAUUCCUGCAAAUAUACGAAAAUGAAAUGUUUUCAAUAAAAGGCAUAUUUUCACCGCA